UGCCUAGCAACUCCUAUCCCUAACUCUUCGUGGUACUGGCCGAGGUACGAGUAACCUUAGGGAAGAUCGGGUAACCAACCCCGGUGGGAGCUUUGGUCGUAUGCUGACAGGGAAGG
rfam:Aedes aegypti strain Liverpool supercont1.87 genomic scaffold, whole genome shotgun sequence.